AGUGUGUGGCUGGCGUUAUACAGCCCCCAGCCAUCGCCUGGAGGGCAUCCAGUGUCUGUUAUCACUCACCUUAGGUAGUCUGUGAAGGUCCAGUCAUCACUGGUGCACGUGUAUCUUACCUGUGAUCAACACCGACAGCCACAGACUCCUGCCCAAGGAACGAACACAGUGAUCGUGAUGACAUUGACAACAACGAGCAAGUCCUCCUAGACCUAGAGUGACCUCAAGCUGGGCCAAACAUGAUGUGGAAGAAGAAAUCAGUUGUCUCCAUCAGUCGGGUUUGUGCCAUGGCAGCUUUCUCCAGCUGUCCGGCAGAGGUCCAGUCCAUGCCAUGGAGAAAUUCAGCCCCCAACAAUGAGAUGGCAUGCCAGAGAUGGAUCCGCAGCUUCUCCAAUCAAUCAAUCCUUGCAAUGCCCUUUCUCUUUUCUCUUCUUCUGUACCACCAUGCUUACACAUAACUGAUCCAAGGUACUUAAACUCGUUAACCUCCUCCAUUUCUUCACCAUUCAAAAUUAUUUGGCAUUCUUUUUCACAUUCAACGCCCACUCUAUAUGGGCAUACAAACUCUACAACCUCCCUUCUACUCCCCUCACAAACCAUCACUUUACUUUUGUUGACAUUUACUUUCAACUUUCUCCUUUUACAUACACUAUCAAAAACACUGACCAAAUUUUGUAAGUCACUUUCAUUUUCUGCAUUGAGCACCGUGUCAUCAGCAAAUAAGAUUGAAUUCAUCACCCACUUCCCUCCCUCCCUCAGCAUACAUUUUUACUUCAAUUUCCCCAACUUUGCCCUUCAUUUCUCAUAACACCAUCCAUAUAAAUAUUGAACAACCAUGAUGACAUGACACACCCCUGCCUUAGCCCACUUUCAUCUUAAAAUGUUCACUUGUUUCUCCAGUAAUUUUGACACAUGCAGAUGCAUCCUCAUAGAAAGACUUUAUUGCAUAAAGCAGUUUUCCUCCCACACCAUAUAUCUUUAAGACGUCCCACAAUGCCAGCCAAUCGACUCUGUCAUAAACUUUCUUUAGAAUAACUAGAUCCAUGAAGGCAGCAUAGUAUUUUUCCUUUGCUAA